GUGAAUCAUCAAAUUUUUGAACGCAAAUUGCACUCUCUUCGGAGAGUAUGCCUGUUUGAGGGUCAGUAUUUAUAAAAAUCGGCGCGUUGCUGUUUUGUGAUGAUCCGGAGUUUGGGUCAUCUUAUAUUAACACCCUUUCAGGGUAUCUUUAAGAGGCUUAGAAUUUACUUCUUUUGUGCAUUCUAGACGUACAUAAAUUUUUUUUUAUUCGUCUAUCUUAAUGUCAAAUGUCUAUUAGAUGUGACAA
rnacentral:misc_RNA from 1 species